ensembl:lncRNA
CUGAGGCAACGAAAUGCAGUUUAGCAUCCAACCAGAAGUGCAAAAUAGCAAAAAGUGCAGAGUAUGUGCAUAUGUAAAGUGUAAUAAGUGAAUAAAUAGAUAUGUACAGUAAGAAAUAGAUAUGCAAUAUGAACAGUAAUUGGGACUAGCAGCAAUUGAGGUAAGAAGUGUAGGUAUGAUAAGUAUAUGUAAAGUGCAGGUGUAAGUAUUAGUGGUGGUAAUAAGUGAGAUGAAGUGAAAGAGGUAUUAGUAAUAUUAUAUUUAAGAGGUAAGAAGUGUAGGUAUGAUAAGUAUAUGUAAAGUGCAGGUGUAAGUAUUAGUGGUGGUAGUAAGUGAGAUGAAGUGAAAGAGGUAUUAGUAAUAUUAUAUUUAAGAGGUAUUGUAUGUUAUAAGUAUGAUUAAGACAGUAAUAAGUGGUAGAAAAAAAAACAUUCUGGUGCAAAUGUUCAGUGGCUGGAGGAGGGUGUGGCAGUCAAGUCAGGGUGGAGG